UUAACUGGGCCGUUGGGAAUGCACGUGCGCACACAUGAGCAGGGUCCAUCCCUAUCCCCACCUGAUCCAGUCGCACCCCCACUCAGCCGUCUCUUGCACCAAUCCGAGUACUCUUUGGACCUGCGGCGGCUGCUUGAAUCCCCGGCGUAGCAGUGAUGGAAGCCGGCCUUGAAUUCUUGCAGGAUACCGUCGACCGAUUUCUCGUCCAGGAGGUUUGUCGACAGCCUUGAACACCCAGAUCCAGUACCUCUUGCAUUGUUAACGCCUGACGAAGCGAAUCCAGCCGGCCAGGAAGCCCGGAAUGUUGCAUCUGGAUGCGGCAGCAAGUUGACGGUGGUGGCGCUGGUAGGCCGAGCUGCGGCGACCGACGGUAGCAGGAGAUAUCACCCACUGCGUCCGCGCAAUCUAUUGACAGGGUAACCCAGAAACACCUGGAUGGACGAAGAGGAUAAUUGUUUUGUGUUGUUUACCGCUGUACGUUCAUUGACAUGCUCAGCCUGGGGCUAUAUUAAUUUGUUUUUGGUCUCACUUGAAUUAAUGAUGAAGCUAACUGAAAGCUUAGGCCUGUUACAUAUGCAUAUUGUUAUAUGAUGAUUAGGUGGCACAGCAUUUUAAAAUUUGUCUGAUGUACAUGUGAAAAGUUUCAGAUGUAGUAACGGUUAGCUUUAAAAAUUCAGGUUGGAUUAGUUUAUGUGCUCAAGAGAAACUAAUAAUUUUCUUGUGGAGGAGGCAUCAGGCAUUACAAAUCAUUGAACAUUAAGUUGUUUUCUUUUUUAGUUCUACCUCCUAGCUAUGUAGAAAAGAUAUCAUGUAUUGCUGCAAUUGAAAUCUUGAACUAAUUGCUAAGUUGACCAAAUAUGCAUUGGUACUAAAUAUGCACAUAGAUGUUCAGUAGCAUUUCUGACUAAAAUUGGAUUUUGGUUCUCACCAAAUCACUAGUUUUUGCUUUGAAAUGAUCAUUCACAUGGCAGGCCCAAAAGGUACUCCCUCCGUAAACUAAUAUAAGAGCGUUUACAUCACUACUUUAGUGAUCUAAACGCUCUUAUAUUAGUUUACAGAGGGAGUACUUGGUAAGCUCAAAAAUUACAAGUCUCCAGGAGAAGCCCUCGGAUUUAGGUGUUAAGCCGAAGAACCACAAGGUCAGGCCAGGUUGACUGAGUUAGGUUGAAUAUUCAGUAUGUGCACACCUCUGCAUAUCAUAUUAGGUUGAAUAUUCACCACAUCACUAUCAUGUUCUGGUUUGUACUUUCCAGCUACCAUACCUGUGCAUAUCAUUGAUUUUUUCAUAUUGUUACUUGGUGAUGCUCAAAUUUAUUAUAUGUGCAAUUUUCAAAUCUAAA